GUAACCUGGAAAUACCAAUGACCAUGAAUGGCUGCAAAUUUGAUUUCUGAGGCCCCUGGACUCCACAGUCUGGUAGAGUAUUCCGGAAACAAGAGGAGAAGCAUGCAGAGGAGAUCCGUGCAGAGAGACACUCAGGAAAGAGACGCUAUCUUCCCUGAGAGAGCAAGGGAGGCAAAGCUGAAGGCCAGGUACAGAGCCUAUCACAGAAGACUGGAGGUUCUGCUUUCUCAUGAAGGACUCUAGAAAAGGAAAUAUACGUUUACUCAGGAGACUACAGCGUGGUCAGAACCGAGGUGAAGAACAGGGAAAUGCCACAUCCAGGGACUGGAGAGACAGCCCAGUGGUUAGGAGCACAGACUACUCAUUCAAAGACCUGG